AUGUUCCUACGGGGGGCAGCAGUGGGGAAUAUUGGGCAAUGGGCGCAAGCCUGACCCAGCAACGCCGCGUGAAGGAAGAAGGCUUUCGGGUUGUAAACUUCUUUUCUCGGGGACGAAGCAAGUGACGGUACCUGCAGAGGAAGCCACGGCUAACUACGUGCCAGCAGCCGCGGUAAUACGUAGGUGGCAAGCGUUGUUCGGAAUAACUGGGCGUAAAGGAUGCGUAGGCGGUUAAACAAGUUAUAUGUUAAAUAUAUAGGCUUAACCUGUAGAAAGCAUAUAAAACUGUUUAACUAUAGUGCAGG
rnacentral:rRNA from 1 species